CAAUAGCGUAUAUUAAAGUUGUUGCAGUUAAAAAGCUCGUAGUUGGAUUUAAGUUUGGUUCAAGAUCACAGUCGUGAGAUUGUGGUGCACGAAACGGACAUUAUUUGGGAUUGGGGGUUUCUUGGCAUUCAGUUGUUGAGAUUCAACUGCCCAUCGUUUACUGUGAAAAAAUUAGAGUGUUUAAAGCAGGGGUUUUUCCUUUGGAUAUAUUAGCAUGGAAUAAUAAUAUAUGACUCGCAUGGUCUAUUUUGUUGGUUUGCACAUAUGAGUAAUGAUUAAUAGGGACAGUUGGGGGUAUUCAUAUUUGAGCGUCAGAGGUGAAAUUCUUGGAUCGCUGAAAGAUGAGCUAAGGCGAAAGCAUUUACCAAGGAUGUUUUCAUUAA
rnacentral:rRNA from 1 species